UGCGCAGGCGGGGCAAUAAGUCAGUGGUGAAAUCCUGCGGCUUAACCGUAGAACUGCCAUUGAUACUGUUGCCCUUGAGUAUAGUUGAGGUGGGCGGAAUAUGUAAUGUAGCGGUGAAAUGCAUAGAUAUUACAUAGAACACCAAUUGCGAAGGCAGCUCACUAAGCUAUCACUGAUGCUGAGGCACGAAAGCGUGGGGAGCGAACAGGAUUAGAUACCCUGGUAGUCC
rnacentral:rRNA from 1 species